CGCCCGCAAGGGCGCGACGACAAACUGAUAGCUCGACACGGAGGGCCGGACGCUCCUUGCAUGGCGGCGGCGUGCGCGUUUGCCGCCGUUUCAUGGCCUCACCGUUACGCAAUUUAGACAACGCGCCGAGAAAGAAUUGUGCGAGGUAUUUUUAUUUUGUUAUGAACAG
rnacentral:sRNA from 12 species